rnacentral:rRNA from 1 species
AUUCGCCCUUAGAGUUUGAUCCUGGCUCAGGAUGAACGCUGGCGGCAUGCCUAAGACAUGCAAGUCGUACGAAGGGGCCCAAUGAAAGGAAUUGAAAUUCAGAGUGCUUGCACAAAGAAUGGAUUUUCUUGGAUUUGGAUUUUCCCCUUAGUGGCAAACGGGUGAGUAACACGUGGGUUACCUACCUCUAAGAUGGGGAUAACAGUUGGAAACGACUGAUAAUACCGAAUGUGCUCUACGGAGUAAAGAAGCCCUUAAAGCUUCGCUUAGAGAUGGGCCUGCGGCGUAUUAGCUAGUUGGUGGGGUAAUGGCCUACCAAGGCGACGAUGCGUAGCCGAACUGAGAGGUUGAUCGGCCACACUGGGACUGAGACACGGCCCAGACUCCUACGGGAGACAGCAGUUAGGAAUAUUCGUCAAUGGAGGAAACUCUGAACGAGCAAUGCCGCGUGAACGAUGACGGCCCUAUGGGUUGUAAAGUUCUGUUGUUUGGAAAGAACGAUAGAUAGAGGAAAUGCUAUCUAUGUGACGGUACCAUUCAAGAAAGCCACGGCUAACUACGUGCCAGCAGCCGCGGUAAUACGUAGGUGGCGAGCGUUAUCCGGAUUUAUUGGGCGUAAAGGGUGCGCAGACGGUUUAUUAAGUCUAAAAUCAAAUCUUGGGGCUCAACCCCAUUCCGUUUUAGAAACUGGUAGACUUGAGUAUGGUAGAGGCAAAUGGAAUUCCUAGUGUAGCGGUGGAAUGCGUAGAUAUUAGGAGGAACACCAGUGGCGAAGGCGAUUUGCUGGGCCAUUACUGACGUUCAGGCACGAAAGCGUGGGGAGCAAAUAGGAUUAGAUACCCUAGUAGUCCACGCCGUAAACGAUGAGUACUAAGUGUCGGGUUACCGGUGCUGAAGUUAACACAUUAAGUACUCCGCCUGAGUAGUACGGUCGCAAG